AUUGAACGCUGGCGGCAGGCUUAACACAUGCAAGUCGAGCGGGGUGAUGGUGCUUGCACUAUCACUUAGCGGCGGACGGGUGAGUAAUGCUUAGGAAUCUGCCUAUUAGUGGGGGACAACAUCUCGAAAGGGAUGCUAAUACCGCAUACGUCCUACGGGAGAAAGCAGGGGAUCUCUUGUGACCUUGCGCUAAUAGAUGAGCCUAAGUCGGAUUAGCUAGUUGGUGGGGUAAAGGCCUACCAAGGCGACGAUCUGUAGCGGGUCUGAGAGGAUGAUCCGCAACACUGGGACUGAGACACGGCCCAGACUCCUACGGGAGGCAGCAGUGGGGAAUAUUGGACAAUGGGGGGAACCCUGAUCCAGCCAUGCCGCGUGUGUGAAGAAGGCCUUAUGGUUGUAAAGCACUUUAAGCGAGGAGGAGGCUCUUUUGGUUAAUACCCAAGAUGAGUGGACGUUACUCGCAGAAUUAGCACCGGCUAACUCUGUGCCAGCCGCCGCCGUAA
rnacentral:rRNA from 1 species